rnacentral:lncRNA from 1 species
AGCAUAUAAUUAAAUCAAGAUGUGCAUGUGUGGUGGAGUAAAUGAUAGUGAUGGUGAAAAUGCAAUAGUGUUAAUAAAUCUUAGUUCUCACUGCUCCUCAUAUUGCUAUCUCUCCUCUUCUUUUUGAUCUUUGCUUUGGGAGAACAUGGGCUAUCUUUUUCUCUCUCUUUUUUUUCAGGUGGGUAGUAGAUACCCCUAAUUCUACUGUCGGACACUUCUCCAUUUUUUCCGCUCAAGUGGGCAUUUUUGUACCCCUAAUUCUACUUCGGACACUUGUCCAUUUUUACCUCUCGUCUCACUCUUUUUCUUUCUUUUUCCGAGGUUCCGGGCACUUGCCCCUUUUUAUUUCCUCGUAUAUUUUUGCAUAACCCAUGCCUCUUCUGCAUUGAAUCUUUUUAGAGAGAGAGAAUAACAAUAUUCGGGACAGUGAGUGAUAACAUUUUUAGCAAUUUUAAUGAUUGGUGAUGAAUGCUGUGGUAGAUGUGUGCAAGUGAAUAUCUUAAUUUAACCACAUGAAAAGCUCCUAAGGGUCGACACAGCUCGAUCAAACUCAAUGUAAAUAUAGUAAAAGAUGGUAUAGCAAGUAUGGCUGUGGUAGGUAGUUU